GUCUGACGGAGCAACGCCGCGUGAGUGAUGAAGGUUUUCGGAUCGUAAAGCUCUGUUGUUAGGGAAGAACAAGUGCGAGAGUAACUGCUCGCACCUUGACGGUACCUAACCAGAAAGCCACGGCUAACUACGUGCCAGCAGCCGCGGUAAUACGA
rnacentral:rRNA from 2 species